rnacentral:rRNA from 1 species
UACGUAGGGCGCAAGCGUUGUCCGGAAUUAUUGGGCGUAAAGAGCUCGUAGGCGGCUUGUCACGUCGGAUGUGAAAGCCCGGGGCUUAACCCCGGGUCUGCAUUCGAUACGGGCAGGCUAGAGUGUGGUAGGGGAGAUCGGAAUUCCUGGUGUAGCGGUGAAAUGCGCAGAUAUCAAGUGGAACACCAGUGGCGAAGGCGAGUCUCUGGACAUUUCCUGACGCUGAGGCACGAAAGCCAGGGGAGCAAACGGG